rnacentral:rRNA from 1 species
ACUUGAUUAGUUUGUUGGUGGGGUAAUGGCCUACCAAGACUGUGAUCAAUAGCUGAUUUGAGAGGAUGAUCAGCCACAUUGGGACUGAGACACGGCCCAAACUCCUACGGGAGGCAGCAGUGGGGAAUCUUGCACAAUGGAGGAAACUCUGAUGCAGCGAUGCCGCGUGAGUGAAGAAGGCCUUUGGGUUGUAAAGCUCUUUCGUCGGGGAAGAAAAUGACUGUACCCGAAUAAGAAGGUCCGGCUAACUUCGUGCCAGCAGCCGCGGUAAUACGAAGGGACCUAGCGUAGUUCGGAAUUACUGGGCUUAAAGAGUUCGUAGGUGGUUGAAAAAGUUGGUGGUGAAAUCCCAGAGCUUAACUCUGGAACUGCCAUCAAAACUUUUCAGCUAGAGUAUGAUAGAGGAAAGCAGAAUUUCUAGUGUAGAGGUGAAAUUCGUAGAUAUUAGAAAGAAUACCAAUUGCGAAGGCAGCUUUCUGGAUCAUUACUGACACUGAGGAACGAAAGCAUGGGUAGCGAAGAGGAUUAGAUACCCUCGUAGUCCAUGCCGUAAACGAUGUGUGUUAGACGUUGGAAAUUUAUUUUCAGUGUCGCAGCGAAAGCGAUAAACACACCGCCUGGGGAGUACGACCGCAAGGUUAAAACUCAAAUGAAUUGACGGGGACCCGCACAAGUAGUGGAGCAUGUGGUUUAAUUCGAAGAUACGCGCAGAACCUUACCAACACUUGACAUGUUCGUCGCGACUUUAAGAGAUUAAAGUUUUCGGUUCGGCCGGACGAAACACAGGUGCUGCAUGGCUGUCGUCAGCUCGUGUCGUGAGAUGUUGGGUUAAGUCCCGCAACGAGCGCAACCCUCACUUUUAGUUGCCAUCAUUUAGUUGGGCACUCUGAAA